rnacentral:lncRNA from 1 species
CCAUCAAUGGGGUCACAACAAGCAAACCUGGAGUAUCCUUGGUCUACUCCAUGCCCUCCUAGAACUGUCCCUGUGGCUGGAGGGUCUCCAGGAGAGAGACUCUGGCCCCUACAGCUGCUCCGUGAAUGUGCAAGACAAACAAGGCAUCAUUACGGGCUACAUCAUCAAAACCUUAGAACUCAGUGUACAGGGUGAGUGAGAAGCACAGACUUCCGGACCCCUCCCCACCUGCACUGGGAGGUCAGGCGAGUCACUCUCCUAAAUGGCUGAGGGCAAGAGUUGGAGAAGGGAUAAAUGAAACGACAGAAGGGUGCAGACAGAAGGGUCACCAAUGUGACCCUGAGCUGCCAGUCUCCGAGGAGUAAGCCCGCUGCCCAAUAUCAGUGGGAUCGGCAGCUUCCAUCCUUCCAGACUUUCUUUGCACCAGCAUUUG